rnacentral:tmRNA from 1 species
GGGGCCGACCGGUUUUGACAGGAUGCGUAAUUACGUAUGUAAGCAUGCAGGCUCAUGGGAUGAGAGCCUUGAAAGAUAGUCCUACAACAUACUUGGCGAGUCUAACUACGCCAUGGCUGCUUAAUUUAGCUGAUAGCUAGAUUAGCUUAUCCCGAUUAAGAAUCGGGAGGCCAUCAUCGCUCAGUGCCUUUGUUUUACGGGUGCUGGUUUAGCGAUGUCGUUUAGUAAAACUGCUCCGUGUGAUGUUGCUAAACACGGCUAAGACUAAGCAACUAAGGAGAAGUUUAGGAUGUUGGUAACCUUGCUUUUCCCUACAAUUAAAAUUCAACUAAGCAUGUAGAAGGUACGGCAUUAUCUUCUCUGGACCAGAGUUCGAUUCUCUGCGGCUCCACUA